ACGGCCGACUGUCAAGUUCCACGGUCCGUGUGUAUUCAUGAGAACUAAAGGCAAAGUCCUGGAACUAGGAGAGACAGAAACUGACUGGCCUAGAACCCAAACAGCAAACUGAGUGCCUUUCUGAACAUUUAACUCUGACCCCUUGAGAUUCCAGUUGGGAACAAACACAAUCCAAACAUUUCCCUUUCUCCAAAAGCCCCAAACCCCUCAGGCUCCUCACCAGCGACAGCUGGGUCGCUUCAAGUCACCUUACCCUCCCCAGUGACGCACCCACGCGCUCAGGCCCCAAGGGUGACCGGAGCCUUUUUUUUUUUUUUUUUAAGUUCUUCUUUUAACCAAAAUUGAAGCAGUUUCCUUCUCUCCUUCCUCUCCGUUAAGUAGCCCUGAGUCCUCCCCAGAGCCCAGGGUCGAGCGGACACCACCCUCAGUUUCCCAUUCCCGGGCGCAGGAGGGUCCCGAAGGUCCGGACACCCCGGGCCCGGCCGCAGGACAGCAGGGGGCGCAGCGGAGGGCUAGGCCGCAGCUUCGUAAACAAACCCGCCAGCCGCGGAGCCCCGGGCAGCGGGGCGGGUCGGCAGCUCUCGGCCUCUCCACCCCCAGCUUCCGGCCAGCGGGCCAUGAUUCCCCCAUAGCGAGCGCUUUCUCCCGAAGCCCCCAUGCCGCUGACGCCCGCUGACGCCCGCGCUCGAGGUCCCCGUGGAGAAGAGCCCCGGACACCGCACGACCUCGGGCGGUGGCGGAGCAGAAAGCCGUUGCCUUAACGCCAACAGCUCUGCCACUGCUCCCUGCAGAAAGGUGCCAACACUGCGGGCUGGACAAGUCGGGAGAGUCCAAGAGGACAUAGGUGGAGUCGCCGAGCGGCUCACUGCUGCCACCUGCUGCUACUGAGUAGCAUCGGUCAUUCUUCCUUCAUAGGAGAGGCUGGAGGGAAGGAAGCACCCUGAGCAGAGACACACGGAGUUAAGACCCUUAAAAGAUCGGAUCUGUGGAAAGAUUGUGGUGCACCCCUCUACUGUGAGGCUUCAAAACGGAAAGAAAAUUAAAAGUAAUAAAAGUCUAAGUAAGGAUGUAUCACAAAAA